rnacentral:rRNA from 1 species
UACGAAGGGGGCUAGCGUUGCUCGGAAUCACUGGGCGUAAAGCGCACGUAGGCGGACUCUUAAGUCAGGGGUGAAAUCCUGGAGCUCAACUCCAGAACUGCCUUUGAUACUGGGAGUCUUGAGUUCGGGAGAGGUGAGUGGAACUGCGAGUGUAGAGGUGAAAUUCGUAGAUAUUCGCAAAGACACCAGUGGCGAAGGCGGCUCACUGGCCCGAUACUGACGCUGGAGGUG